UACGGAGGAUGCAAGCGUUAUCCGGAAUGAUUGGGCGUAAAGCGUCCGCAGGUGGCUAUGUAAGUCUGCUGUUAAAGAGUGAGGCUCAACCUCAUAAGAGCAGUGGAAACUACAUGGCUAGAGUGCGUUCGGGGCAGAGGGAAUUCCUGGUGUAGCGGUGAAAUGCGUAGAGAUCAGGAAGAACACCGGUGGCGAAAGCGCUCUGCUAGGCCGCAACUGACACUGAGGGACGAAAGCUAGGGGAGCGAAUGGG
rnacentral:rRNA from 1 species